AUGGCCACAGAUGUCAUCACACCAUACAGAGAUGCACUAUUUGUCAGUGAAUCUGAGAGUGUGACACUGUCUUGUAACUACACUGGAUCUGUUUACAGUCUUGACUGGUAUCGACAAUAUUCAGCUUCACCUCCAGAAUUCCUCAUAUUGGACUCUUAUGGAUCAAUAAGAGAAGCUGAUCCUCCAGUUUCAGGAAUCUCCAUCAAAGACAGAAAAGCUGACAGUAGUGUGGAUCUAAAGAUCUCAUCUGUUAAAGUCACAGACUCUGCUCUGUAUUAUUGUGCACUGACUCCCACAGUGACAGAAAACACAACAACACUGUACAAAAACCUGAGUGACUGA